rnacentral:lncRNA from 1 species
GCUUAGAGUUCUAGGCUUGUGCGUGACCAGGCUUGAUUGCCUUAAGCUUAGAUCCUUCCUUAGUUGACAUGGGCCUUUACCAAAGGCUCAGGGGAUCUCUCUGAGAUAAAUUAACCCUUACCUCUCAGCAACAAUAGGCUUAAUGUUGUGUUUUAAAAUAAUUACACUGGAUGAAUUUGAAAGCAGAUUGGAGACAGCAAGAGUGAGCAAGGAACACAAGACAACUACAAUAAUUAGGCAGGAGGCUGAAGCAGUUGAAACAAUGGUAAUAUGGAUAUAUGUGUAAAUGGGAAUUAGGAGGUUGACUUAGAAGUAAAAUUGGCUGGGUUUUGUGAUAAACUGGUUAUUGGGACUUAGGAAAAGGGAAGUGAUGAAACUGAUUCCCAGAUUUAUAGCUUGAAUUGGAUGUAUAGUGCUUCCUUUCCCUGAGAUAGAGAAUAUUUGGGAAAACACAACUUUGGAAAAUCAAAAUCAUAAAUUCAGCUUUGUAUAUGUAGAGGAGGCAUUCUCUUAAAUGGGAUACACCUCAGAUAAGAGAUCUCUUUCUUUUAGGACAAGCAGUAUAGAGCUAAACCACUGAUAGAGUUUUUUAAAAACCACAGUCAGAACAAGAUGGAGAUCUAAAAAUUAAGGUAAUUGUUCCUUAUUCAAGGCCCCAUUGUCACCACUAUGUGUUCAUAGCAUCUUCUCAGUUCCUCAGAAUUGUCAAAAGUGAUUACCUUCAGGACUGACAUUCGUCUUCUGAGUUUCUGCCUUGAAGUGCAUUGGUAUGAAAGCAUCCCAUGAAUCCAUUCAGUGACUCUUGUGUCAUAGAAGUAUACAUUGAAAGUAAGACCAGGUGUUACAGGUAGUGGCUCCAUUGAAGAUGUCAUUUUUGUCCAAGCUAUUGAUCACUGUUGUCUGCCCACCAGCAGGAUUGCAUGAGUGUGAGAGCUACAGGAGUACUGGAAGCUGCCAUUGGCCUCUUUUAUCCUUUACCUUUCUUGUCCUGCCACACCCUCCAUCACUUACCUACUUACCCCAAGCCUGGAGUUCUGCUGCAUAUAGGGAAUGAGUGACCAUGUAAAACAUUCCCCAAACCAUCCCUGUAGGGUACUCUCCUACUGUUAUAGUAUGUUCCCUGGAUGCACUGUGAGGAUGUGUGCGCGUGUGUCUUGACACAACUGUGGCGAAUUUGUAUUCAUAUAAUUUGUUUUCUAAGUGGAAGGAUUACUCUUCUGUAAUGCAAUUCUUAAAAUUUUAAUAUAUCAUUUCAUUCUUUGAUGAUAAUCCUAUCUAAGGCUCUUUAAGCUUUAAGAGCACUUGAAUAGACAGUUUGAGAUAUUUAUUUUCUCUGUACACUGUUGAAAGACUUGAUUGAUUGUGGUGAGACGGGUUUUUGAAAUGGAUAUUUCAAUAACUCAGUGGUAGAUGUCAAAGCACUUAUGUAUAUGUGUAUCAUGCAGGUGUCUCCUGAAUUUAAUAAGAAUUAAAGUUUUUAGUGAAAAAAUAUUUAAAUGAUGUUAUAACAUUGAGCAUAGGCCUAUUCUUUUCAAAAUGUGGGGGAUAUAAUGAUUUAAGCAGUCACUAAAUCAGUGAUCUAUUAAAAAUGUGAUGUGGUUUAUGGUAUAUUUAUGAAAAAGGAGGUCAUCAUUUUAAAACUUAAAUGCAUCUUUAAAUUAUUACACAUUCUUAUGUGAAGAAAAGCUAAACAGACUGUAGCAAAGAAAAAGCACUUAAAUAUUAUAUCUUCUCUAUUUAUGGAUUCUUUUUUGGGAGAGCAUAAAAUAAUGCCAGAAGAAGUUGCCAGUCAGAUAUCAUCUUCUACUCACCUUAAUUAAUGCAUAGAAAGACAGGUGAGGUCAGGAAGAACAUUUAUUCUUACAUAGAGUGUAGCCACUUGCUUGGUUCAGGUGAACAGGUCUUAAUUAGCAGAAACUCCCUAAGUGCCAUCAAUAUAGAUGCUCUUGCCUCUCCCAAGUCCAGCAGGCAGUGUAUGAAAUUCAAAGUAAAGAUAAGUGUAACAGCCUCAGCUCAUCAAUUUUGAUAGAAGAUUCAGUGAGAACUCUAAGUUAAUGGAUGGAACCCCAGUCUUCAGGACUAGAGAGCAGUCUGUAGGAAAGUACAAACAUAUAAGAAUUGUUUCCUUUUCUAUGACUACUCCAAAAGACAAUUAAUUUUAUUCUUGAUGUUGAGAGUUGUGUAUCUUGAUUAUUGAGAUGACAUAUAUUUUAAGAACAUGCUAAUGAUUUGAUGUGUGGAAGGUAGAUAGAUGCCUUUGCAUCCUAAAUAUGUGAAGCUGCAGAGUGAACAGCUUGCUCAUUUGAGGCUCCUUGGUGGCUGGUUAUUCCAACUUCAGACUCACAGUCCCUGGGGGUGAGAAAAAGUAUUUGGAGAUGUACUAAGUCCAAGAUGAUAGCAGGGUACCAGAGUGCCAUUAUCUAAGUCCUGAGAAAAGAAACAAACUAACAAUUUUCUACUAGCACGGAAUAUGAAAGAAUAUUUUAAACUCUGAAUAGUGAAUCUACUUGAAAUUCAUGAACUACUUUGAUGUAUCAAAGAUUUCAUUUGCAGGCAGAUCAAAUCAUAUUCCACACAUGUAUCUUAAUGCAUGGUGUGUCUUUGUCAUUAUAAUGUGGUUGCCAUCCUUAUUCUGAUUAAACGAAACCUGUAAUGGGGACCUCUAAUAUACUUUAUGAAAUUGUACAGUCUUCUCAUAGGCUCUAAAAGGGUGUUAUUAGUCAUUACUAAAUGUAUAUAGAUGCUUGGUCAAGGCCAGAUUAAGAUCUUUGCGGACUGUAAAUAUUGAAAAAUUAUUGUACCCACAUCCCACCUCAACUCAAAAUAUUAACAGAUGUCAAAAUGCCAUAAAUAUACUGGGAAGUACAAAAAGCUUAUUUUCCUAUGAUGUCUACAUUGGCACAUUUAUACUGAAAUCUCAGAGAUUCUUAAACCAUUAUUAACGAUUAUUAUUAUCAGCAUCUUCAUUAUUUGCUGUCCCUGUGCUUUGCCGAUACUCUAAACAGUUGCUUAUUAUACUUUUGAGUUAAUCCAACAGAAGAUUUGCCUAUUACAUUAUACAUUUUAUUUUGCAUCUUUUCCUAUCAAUUAAAAAAGAAAAUCUCUGCAAGUGUGGGAGAAAUCCAGCCUCACAGCUGGCUUAACCAGUCUUCCCUAAUUGGCUUCUUUUAUUCCCACCCACAUUAUUACUUUAAAUUUAAACUUUUAAAUAUUAUCUUUCAACACAUUUCUAACCAUAAGGGUUAUUUAUACUGAUUUUAAGUUUUAGUCCACCUUGAUUUUUAACUGCUUAUUAGAUCCACAUUAAUAAUAGCUAGUUAUUUUAUAAGCAGUCGAAAUUUUAAGUAUAAUGUUGAUCAAUAAGUCACAACAAUUUGUGAAAACUUAGUUAUUUGGCCAGGAAUAAAUAACAAUUGAAAAAUUAAAUGCCACAAGAAUUUUCCCCAAACAGUGCACUGCAAUUUUUUGAACAUGAAGUCAUUAUAAAUUCUGUAUCUGGAAUAGGAGUUCGUGAUGAUCUAAACAAUUCUACUUCAUUCCAGGGAUAAAUAAUAAAAGCAGAAAAAAGAUAUUUAAGCAAUCCGCUAUCUAGAAUGUGACCCUUUGUUACUUCUCUAUUUCUAAGAGUUACAGUGCAAAUGUUAGAACGAGGGUGUGCUCUAAAAUUUAAAGAAACUAAACAAGAAUGGGAGAAGGCUGGUUUGUUUAGCCACAUGGCUGAUGCUUUUCUUACUGCUGUCCCCUUUCUUUCCUCUCCUUCCCUUCCCCUCCCCCUUCUCCUCUCCCAACCCCCAUUCCCUCUUCCUCCUUCUCCUCCCCAUCAUCAGCCUCACGUUCCCUCUCUUCCUCCUCCUACUUCUUCAUCUCUCUUCCCCCUCCCCUCUCUACUUUCUCACACACUCUUUCUUCUUUCUCUUUCCUCCUCAUUCCCUCUGCUUUAAGGUUCAUCUGGGUUUGCACUUUCACCUUGACAGCUCCAGCCCAAGUGUGGUUGUCAUUCCUUUUCCUUGAUUACAUUUGACACAAGAGUUUGUCAUUUUCCAAUAGAUUUCACUAAACACAAAGAAAACACAGGAGCAGGAAAUACCAAGACAUCAAUGUCAUUCUGUUUGUAAAGUACAGAACAAUAUUCAUAGAUCUUGUCCUAUUUUAAACAUUAUCCUGGAUACUACAAAAUGCCUAAACUUAAAUCCCAAGGAGAUGGCACAGGUUAACAAGCAACUUGGAUAAUUAUUUUCUUCUUAGCUACAGAUCUUCAUAUGGAAUGUUUCCUAUUGACCAAGAGUUCUCUUUUGUACAUUUGAUAAUUUGUUCCCCCAGAUAUGAACUAGUGUUGUUCUGUUUGUUGAAAUAUAGAUAAUUGCCUAGAAACCUCAUUUCAUUGGACUGUCCAAUGCUCUCCCGAAAUAACGGUAAAUUCCUGAGAAGCUGUGAUUUUUACCAUCACAUCACUUCCAGCUUUCUGGCUCUACUGAAUUAAUUUAGUUCAUAGUCCAUCUCACCCUUGAGGAUCAGUUGCUUUUGUUCCACAUGGUGUAAACCCACAUGUGGAGUUCAGAACUAGAACUGACUCUUAAUCUCCCCCAAAUUAAAAAAUACACAUGCAAGUAAAAAAGAAACAGUUCACACAAGAUAUUUGUGUUUCUAACUUGUUGAGAACAGUGGUCUUUACAUCUUAAUGUAUAAAAAAAUUUAAAUAGGAUAUUAGGCACCUUUGUUCGUAAACAUUUGUUUUACUACUUAUGCAAAUAUGAGAUUGACUCCCAAUUUAUAUCUCAUACUUUCUAUUUUUUCUCUUCUUUUCCCUACCUUUCUAUUUUACUCUCUGCCAACUCCCUUUCAGCUAGGAAAAAAAUUAAUACCAUUAUUGAUACAGAAAAUGUUUCACUUUUCCAGCUCCUGCCUCUAAACACACUGGACUUCUUUGUGAUUACAUUUGUUGUGCUGAAAUUUUGAAAUUACCUCCUAGAAAUAAUUUCCAUAACCUAUUUCAGGUUCGAUUGUUUUCUUCAGUUGUUUUUCUGUCCCCAAAUAGUAGAGAUCACUGAAGAUCUUUCAAGUGAGACAUGUUCCCUAAAAUUUUGGAAUUUUAUUUUAUCCUUACAGAUUCAAUGUUUUUAACAUAUGUUAAUAGAAGAAUUACCUCUUGGUUAAUGAGAAUUAUACAUAUACAUUUAUGGAGUGUUAGUCUGGUUUCAUCUUUAUUGGUAAGAUCAUAAACUGAUCCAGGAUUUGAUGUUUAUCAAUAAAAAGUUUCUCACUAGUUUCUUCUGCAGUUUCAAGUUGCCAUAUAAUCAAAUCCUAGGUGGAUCAUGUGGGCUAUCUUUGUUGGACACCCAAAAUGAAAGUAAUGACCCAAGCCGUUUUUCUUUCAGAAGAGAACAGGGAAGUUAUUUAAUGUCAAUAAAACAAUAAAAAACUAACUUAACAAAUUCAUAUUGAUGUUCCCAAAUAUCCCAGUCCCUACAAUACUGUGUCAAACAUCACAAAUUACGCUGCUCUCAGUCCUGAGAAACUGCCCCAGAGUUUUCUCCAGUUUUCUGCAAAAGCUGUGUACUAGGAUCUGGCCACUUGCAAACCCUCAUCCCCAAAGAGAAAAAUCUGAAUUUCCUUUAUGUGGCUCAGUUUUUAUCAUGAUCGAGGUCCAAACUGUGUCAGAAUUUGCUGAUUCCAAGUGCUGUGCUGGAUGACACAGGUUAGGAACAUCCAACAGAAAUGAAUGAAGGUAGAUAUUUAGAGCAAAUGAAAUUCCUGAUUGGCUGAGUCCAUUUUAAUUAAAUGAAAAUGAUGACAAAAUUUUUAAGGAAAUUUCCAGAAGGAAGAAUCUCAGGAUAAGCUCUUGUCAUAGGAAUACUUUUUUAAAUUUUCCAUGCAAAGCCCUGAAACAAAUUUCCUUGGAUACAAGGAGUCUCACCUAUUACCAGUAGUAAGAGUAAAUUCAAGUGGGCCAAAGAAUAUAUGGAGAAAAAGAAUCUCCUUCAAGAAUGGAUUUGUAUAAAACACAUUUGGAUGUACAUGUCACCAUUUCACUUUGUAUCCCAUUAGAAAUAUUUUAGUGGGAAAUGCAGACAAUCAUAAGAAAUAAUCCUGGAGUUCCUAUCGUGGCUCAGUAGAAACGAAUCUGACUCUGUUCUGAUUGAACAUAGGUUCAAUCCCUGGCCUCACUCGGUGGGUUAAAGAUCUGGGUUGCCAUGAGCUGUGGUGUAGGUCACAGACACGGCUCGGAUCUGGCGUGGCUGUGGCGUAGGCCAGAAGCUACAUCUCUAAUUUGAUCCCUAUCCUGGGAAACUC